rnacentral:tRNA from 1 species
UCAUUGGUGGUUCAGUGGUAGAAUUCUCACCUUCCAUGUGGGAGACUAGGGUUCAAUUCCCAGCCAAUGUU